rnacentral:rRNA from 2 species
GAAUGCUGACAUAAGUAACGAUAAAGCGGGUGAAAAGCCCGCUCGCCGGAAGACCAAGGGUUCCUGUCCAACGUUAAUCGGGGCAGGGUGAGUCGACCCCUAAGGCGAGGCCGAAAGGCGUAGUCGAUGGGAAACAGGUUAAUAUUCCUGUACUUGGUGUUACUGCGAAGGGGGGACGGAGAAGGCUAUGUUAGCCGGGCGACGGUUGUCCCGGUUUAAGCAUGUAGGCUGGUUGUCCAGGCAAAUCCGGAUAAUCAAGGCUGAGGUGUGAUGACGAGGCACUACGGUGCUGAAGUAACAAAUGCCCUGCUUCCAGGAAAAGCCUCUAAGCAUCAGGUAACAUCAAAUCGUACCCCAAACCGACACAGGUGGUCAGGUAGAGAAUACCAAGGCGCUUGAGAGAACUCGGGUGAAGGAACUAGGCAAAAUGGUGCCGUAACUUCGGGAGAAGG